rnacentral:rRNA from 1 species
GACGAACGCUGGCGGCGUGCCUAAUACAUGCAAGUUGAGCGAUGAAGAUUGGUGCUUGCCCCAAUUUGAAGAGCAGCGAACGGGUGAGUAACGCGUGGGGAAUCUGCCUUUGAGCGGGGGACAACAUUUGGAAACGAAUGCUAAUACCGCAUAACAACUUUAAACAUAAGUUUUAAGUUUGAAAGAUGCAAUUGCAUCACUCAAAGAUGAUCCCGCGUUGUAUUAGCUAGUUGGUGAGGUAAGGGCUCACCAAGGCGAUGAUACAUAGCCGACCUGAGAGGGUGAUCGGCCACAUUGGGACUGAGACACGGCCCAAACUCCUACGGGAGGCAGCAGUAGGGAAUCUUCGGCAAUGGACGAAAGUCUGACCGAGCAACGCCGCGUGAGUGAAGAAGGUUUUCGGAUCGUAAAACUCUGUUGGUAGAGAAGAACGUUGGUGAGAGUGGAAAGCUCAUCAAGUGACGGUAACUACCCAGAAAGGGACGGCUAACUACGUG